rnacentral:rRNA from 1 species
GAGUUUGAUCCUGGCUCAGAUUGAACGCUGGCGGCAGGCUUAACACAUGCAAGUCGAACGGUAACAUGAGUGCUUGCACUUGAUGACGAGUGGCGGACGGGUGAGUAAUGUAUGGGGAUCUGCCGAAUGGAGGGGGACAACAGUUGGAAACGACUGCUAAUACCGCAUAAAGUUGAGAGACCAAAGCAUGGGACCUUCGGGCCAUGCGCCAUUUGAUGAACCCAUAUGGGAUUAGCUAGUUGGUAGGGUAAUGGCUUACCAAGGCGACGAUCUCUAGCUGGUCUGAGAGGAUGACCAGCCACACUGGAACUGAGACACGGUCCAGACUCCUACGGGAGGCAGCAGUGGGGGAUAUUGCACAAUGGGGGAAACCCUGAUGCAGCCAUGCCGCGUGUAUGAAGAAGGCCUUCGGGUUGUAAAGUACUUUCGGUGAUGAGGAAGGUGGUGUAUCUAAUAGGUGCAUCAAUUGACGUUAAUUACAGAAGAAGCACCGGCUAACUCCGUGCCAGCAGCCGCGGUAAUACGGAGGGUGCGAGCGUUAAUCGGAAUGACUGGGCGUAAAGGGCAUGUAGGCGGAUAAUUAAGUUAGGUGUGAAAGCCCUGGGCUCAACCUAGGAAUUGCACUUAAAACUGGUUAACUAGAGUAUUGUAGAGGAAGGUAGAAUUCCACGUGUAGCGGUGAAAUGCGUAGAGAUGUGGAGGAAUACCGGUGGCGAAGGCGGCCUUCUGGACAGAUACUGACGCUGAGAUGCGAAAGCGUGGGGAGCAAACAGGAUUAGAUACCCUGGUAGUCCACGCUGUAAACGAUGUCGAUUUGGAGUUUGUUGCCUAGAGUGAUGGGCUCCGAAGCUAACGCGAUAAAUCGACCGCCUGGGGAGUACGGCCGCAAGGUUAAAACUCGAAUGAAUUGACGGGGGCCCGCACAAGCGGUGGAGCAUGUGGUUUAAUUCGAUGCAACGCGAAGAACCUUACCUGGUCUUGACAUCCACAGAAUCUUGCAGAGAUGUGAGAGUGCCUUCGGGAACUGUGAGACAGGUGCUGCAUGGCUGUCGUCAGCUCGUGUUGUGAAAUGUUGGGUUAAGUCCCGCAACGAGCGCAACCCUUGUCCUUUGUUGCCAUCGGUUAGGCCGGGAACUCAAAGGAGACUGCCGUUGAUAAAGCGGAGGAAGGUGGGGACGACGUCAAGUCAUCAUGGCCCUUACGACCAGGGCUACAUACGUGCUACAAUGGCGUAUACAAAGGGAGGCGA